GACAGAGGUCCCGAGCGUUAGGCGGAAUCACUGGGCUUAAAGCGUGUGUAGGCGGACUUCUAAGUACCUUGUGAAAUCCCACGGCUUAACCGUGGAACUCCUUGGUAUACUGGUUGUCUUGGGCCAUCUAGGGGCUACCGGAACAAACGGUGGAGCGGUGAAAUGCGUAGAUAUCGUUUGGAACGCCAAUGGUGAAAACAGGUAGCUGGGGAUGUGCCGACGCUGAGACACGAAAGCCAGGGGAGCAAACGGG
rnacentral:rRNA from 1 species